rnacentral:misc_RNA from 1 species
UGUUGGUUCAUUCAAAGUGGGGACGCAGCACAAGCCUGUUGGUUGGACACAGCAUGGGGAUUCUCCUAAUUAGAUUGCAUUAAUGCAGAGGAGGAUGCCAUUGGAAAAUUGUUUUUAGCAGGACAAAUAGUUAUUGUCAUUAAACUUGCAUGUAAGAAAAUCCUAAAAUGGGAAAAAAGAAAAAGAAAGCAAAAAAAGAAAAUAAUCUUUAAAUUUAUUUUCCUUUAUUUCUUUCUUUCUUUGUGGAGGUCUUGGUUGGGUUAGCAAACCCAACUCCGGAAUUGUAAACAUUGGAUCUCUAUGGUUCAUGUGG